GGAGAGAUGGCUCAAUGGUUAAGAGCACUGGCUGCUCUUCCAGAGGUCCUGAGUUCAAUUCCCAGCAACUACA
rnacentral:tRNA from 1 species